rnacentral:rRNA from 1 species
UACGUAGGGAGCAAGCGUUGUUCGGAUUUACUGGGCGUAAAGGGCGCGUAGGCGGCAUAUUAAGUCAUCUGUGAAAUCUCCGAGCUUAACUCGGAACUGUCAGCUGAUACUGAUGUGCUAGAGUGCGGAAGGGGCAAUCGGAAUUCUUGGUGUAGCGGUGAAAUGCGUAGAUAAUCAAGAGGAACACCUGAGGUGAAGACGGGUUGCUGGGCCGACACGUGACGCUGAGUGCGCGAAAGCCAGGGGAGCAAACGGG